UCCCUGAGUACUUGGACCCAGGAAAGAAGCAUGAAGUGGCUUGUGCUCCUCGGGCUGGUGGCCCUCUCAGAGUGCGUAGUCAUUUUGCCUCUAAAGAAAAUGAAGACCUUGCGAGAAACCCUGAGGGAAAAAAACUUGCUGAACAAUUUCCUGGAGGAACAAGCUUACAGACUGUCCAAGAAUGACUCCAAAAUAACUAUUCACCCACUGAGGAACUAUCUGGAUAUUGCCUACGUGGGUAACAUCACCAUUGGAACACCCCCUCAGGAGUUCCGGGUCGUCUUUGACACAGGCUCAGCUAACUUGUGGGUGCCUUGCAUCACCUGUACCAGUCCAGCCUGUUAUACACACAAAACCUUCAAUCCUCAAAAUUCUUCAAGCUUCCGGGAAGCAGGCUCGCCUAUCACCAUCUUCUAUGGAUCUGGGACAAUUCAGGGAUUUCUUGGCUCUGACACCGUUCGGAUCGGGAACCUUGUUAGCCUUAAACAGUCGUUUGGCCUAAGCCAGGAGGAAUACGGGUUUGAUGGUGCACCCUUUGAUGGCGUCCUGGGCUUGGCCUUCCCCUGCAUCAGCACCAAAGGUGCCACCCCAUCUUUGACAACUUGUGGUCGCGAGGUGCCUUUUCUGAGCCUGUCUUUGCCUUCUACUUGAGCAAAUACAAGCCGGAGGGCAGUGUGGUGAUGUUUGGUGGGGUGGACCACCGCUACUACAAGGGAGAGCUCAACUGGAUACCAGUGUCCCAACCUCGCCACUGGCUGAUAAGCAUGAACCACAUCAGCAUGAAUGGGAAUAUUGUUGCUUGUUCUCAUGGAUGUCAAGCCUUUGUGGACACCGGGACAUCAUUGAUCUACGGCCCAACAGACCUAGUCACCAACAUCAACAAGCUCAUGAAUGCCAGGCUUGAGAAUUCUGAGUAUGCAGUUUUAUGUGAUGCCGUCAAGACCCUGCCUCCUGUCAUCUUCAACAUCAAUGGCAUCGACUAUCCACUGCCCCCUCAAGCCUACAUCACCAAGGAUAAAAACUCCUGCAUUAGCAUCUUUCAAGGGGGCCUAGAAAAUCUCUCUCCAGACAACUGGCUCUUGGGUGACGUCUUUCUGAGGCAGUACUUCUCAGUUUUUGAUCGAAAAAAUGAAAGGAUUGGCCUGGCUCCGGCAGUGUAA
rnacentral:misc_RNA from 1 species